rnacentral:rRNA from 1 species
GAUGAACGCUGGCGGCGUGCCUAAUACAUGCAAGUCGAGCGAACAGAUGAGAAGCUUGCUUCUCUGAUGUUAGCGGCGGACGGGUGAGUAACACGUGGGUAACCUACCUAUAAGACUGGGAUAACUUCGGGAAACCGGAGCUAAUACCGGAUAACAUUUGGAACCGCAUGGUUCUAAAGUGAAAGAUGGUUUUGCUAUCACUUAUAGAUGGACCCGCGCCGUAUUAGCUAGUUGGUAAGGUAACGGCUUACCAAGGCGACGAUACGUAGCCGACCUGAGAGGGUGAUCGGCCACACGGGAACUGAGACACGGUCCAGACUCCUACGGGAGGCAGCAGUAGGGAAGCUUCCGCAAUGGGCGAAAGCCUGACGGAGCAACGCCGCGUGAGUGAUGAAGGGUUUCGGCUCGUAAAACUCUGUUAUUAGGGAAGAACAAAUGUGUAAGUAACUGUGCACAUCUUGACGGUACCUAAUCAGAAAGCCACGGCUAACUACGUGCCAGCCGCCGCUGUAA